AGCGAACGCUGGCGGCAGGCUUAACACAUGCAAGUCGAGCGGGCACUUUCGGGUGUCAGCGGCGGACGGGUGAGUAACGCGUGGGAACGUGCCCUCUGGUUCGGAAUAACUCAGGGAAACUUGAGCUAAUACCAGAUACGCCCUUUUGGGGAAAGGCUUGCUGCCGGAGGAUCGGCCCGCGUCUGAUUAGCUAGUUGGUGAGGUAACGGCUCACCAAGGCGACGAUCAGUAGCUGGUCUGAGAGGAUGAUCAGCCACACUGGGACUGAGACACGGCCCAGACUCCUACGGGAAGCAGCAGUGGGGAAUAUUGGACAAUGGGCGCAAGCCUGAUCCAGCCAUGCCGCGUGAGUGAUGAAGGCCUUAGGGUUGUAAAGCUCUUUUAUCCGGGACGAUAAUGACGGUACCGGAGGAAUAAGCCCCGGCUAACUUCGUG
rnacentral:rRNA from 1 species